rnacentral:lncRNA from 1 species
AUGGGACACGCCGAGACAGGUGACUGGACAAGGUGUAUCAGAGGCUUUGUUGUCAGCAUGGCAUGGCGACGGCGGCGGACAACAGAGAGGCCCUCUCUGUCGGGCAGCAGCCUCCUCUACUCAUCAGCAUUCUGUGCCUUGAGGACACCUGCGUCCCUGGAGAGCCUGUCCAUGAUGUGGGUAGAGUGGCAGUGUUUAUCUGCUGUUACAUGGCUGAGGUAGAUCAAAUGAUCAGCCCUGCUAUGGCUCACUGAGCUUGCACAUCACAAUAUUGGUAAUGACAAUAAACUGCUAAAGCAUGUAGUCCCCAAAGCAGAGUGCGCACGAGUCUUAUAGGAAGGCAUUAAGUGGCGGGGGGAGAGAAAAGUAGUAAAUAAAUGAAAAAGAAACCGCCCCCGACAACCCUGAUUUGGAAAGAUGAUAUUUGCACCCUCUGAAGCUGAAAUCUUCACAGUUGCUGCAAAACUGUCGUUAGUGCACAAGCUUGAAGAUGCUUCGAAGGUGAAAAUAAAGUUUUUUUUAAGUCAGUUUGAGAACUCUGGGCUUCUGGAGACUUGAGUUACACCAGGCAAGCUUUAUGGAGUCAUUUUAUUUUUUCUGUGUUUCAAACAAGUUCUAUGUGUUUGCGGCAGCAUUUUUUUUGGCUGUGAAGCUCUAGAAUGUUUUGUAGACUAUGAAAACUUCACCUGACUUUCCAUCAGCAUGGGGAUGAGGGGACAAUGACAGAAUUUUCAUUUUUGGGCGAACUUUGCCUCUAAAGUAAUUAGCCGCACAAAGAUAAUUCGAAUCUUAUUUCUUAUUUGAAAAUCUAAAUUUCAUGUUAGUUCUCUUAUAUAAUUCUGUUUUUAACUGUUUUUUUCAUGAUUUUCCCAUAAUCCAAACACUGGUGGAACUUGACAGUACGAUGCGAGUCAAAUCAAAAAAACACAAGAUCUCAAAAUAUGGAUACAGUAUAACCCGCAGAAGCACAUUUCUUUUUUUCACAAAGAAACGGUCAAUGAAAGAUUGCAGAAGCUAGCUGAGCAGUGAUCCGGCUCUUUAUAGUGUAAAAAUACAUAAUGUACGUAUACAUUUUGUUUUGCUGCUCAUAAAUGAUAAAAACAAUCAGUUAUUACUACUUUAAAUAAAAGCAAAUACAGCUUUUACUAAAAUUCAGAAAGAAAGUGAUGAAAUUAAAAUUAACCUACACAUUAGGAAACAUUAGCAUAGAUUGCUAACUCUGAACUUUUGCGUGUUGGUGUCGUUCCUAGAAAGUCAUACUUAAUGUCGCCCCAGGACCAUUGUUGUAACUGACCAAUCACGUUUUUUGUAACGUCAUAGCUUUGCGACCCCCGAGAAAGACUGGAAAAAUACACGAAUGUGAGAAGAAACUGUUCCGAAACGCACGGUUAACAUUGUGAAAAGGUGCAUUCUAAUGCAAAUCAUCUUCUCCUAGAAGCACUUUUGUUAACUUAACCUUACCAAACUGUAACAUAAUUUUGCUCCACACUUGACACAAACCCUGCAGCUUCCUAAGUGAGAGUCUUGUGUUUAACCCAUUCUGCCACAACAGAAUGGGUUAAUGUGGUUGAGUAAAGUUGCCAUUCAGACAAUGUUGACAUAAGCAUGACACGAUAUAAACGGUCAAUGAUGAGAUAUCUGCCUGUGCUGCUGUGAAUGGUGUAACCUCAGGGCACAUAAAGAAGCCUACGUGGUGAAAAUGAUUUUAAGGGGCUGAUUUUCCGUGACUAAAGAAUGGUGAGUAAGCUGCUAAUGAUGUGUUGGGACUUGGGUUUGUAAAAGCUGGUAUGGUGUGCUAAUGAUGAGCCAG